CACCUCCAAACCGUAGGAAGGGGAAGAAGAAUAGCAUGCUGUCCGCUGUGCCCAAUGUAGCCGCAUGGACUACAGGGGCGUGUCCGCCUGUCCCUGACCGCCACUGGUCCAGAGGCAGCCUGUCACUGACCAACGGAAGCGCCUACAAACCGAAGCAUCCUGCAUAGUCCAGGCCUCUCUGAUGAGAGAACUGCAAGCAUGGCAGAAGUGCAUAGCACUUGUGAGGUCCCGUCGGGGGCUGGAGAAUCCAUCUUAGGGGCAAAGGACGCACUGCCCGGCAAGGCGCUGGGCGGCGAUGGUUCGGUCACGUGCGUGGACGAGCCACAAACUUACGAGACGCAGCGACUGGACGGGACUUCAACGGAGGUCGUGAGCGGCUGCACAUCUUCAGGCUUCACUACGCAGACCGAUGCAUCUGAAUUGCCAUCAGAGGGCAGGAGAGGCAGCGGGGUGCCCAAAUCGAGCAGCCGCUCCGUGCCAAAGAAGAGCUGCCGCAGCGGGAUGUUCUUCGUCGGUGGCGAUGUCGGCAUGCCGUCCGCUUCGCCCACAAAGUCCCUCGAACGCCGCCCGGCCGUGUUCCGGAGCCGAGCGGCAGAGUCGCUGGGCGACUCGAGCGAGCGCUUGCGCGGUGGCCGAGACGGACCCGUGGCGCACGAUGCCCGCACUGGAUGCGCCACGAACCUGAAGCUGCUUGCAGAGAACCUCGUCAACGAGACCGCGCAGCACGGAGGAGCUUCACCUCGGUCAUGUUCGAUAGGUGCGAGCGAAGGGCCAAGUCGCGAGGACCUCGAAAUGCAGUCACCACCGCCCCAGGAACCGGUGGACGCAGCGAGCGUGACCCGAGUGGCGUCACAAGUCUCCGAGGAGGCGCCAGCGUAUUUUAUCGAAGCGCCUUCCACGGGCGCUUUCGCUCCGUGCCCAACCGAUUCGGCGUCAGCGUACGAGAUCGACGCGGCACCCAACGAACCACCCCUGGAGACGGUAGUGGUGCAAUCUGCUCCUCGUGCUCCAAGCAAGUCUACCGUGCAGGUUCUCAGAGUUGAAGUCCCAGAAGCACCCGUGCGACCUGAACACUUCUCCGGCACUGAAGCGCCCAUGGCUGCAUCCACACUGCCCCUCAACUCAGAAGUGCCCAGAAACAACAGGCCUACACAAGUUCUACGCCACCCACGCCCACACGCCAUGCCAGCCAUUGCGAGUCCACUGUGUACCCGAUGGUGCUGCGCUAAGAUCAGCAUGAUAUCCAUGGCGAUUAUGUCCCUCUUUGCUGCCUUCAUGAUUUACGCAUUCAGGGAAGCCGCUAAAGAGUUCCUUGUGUCAUCGUGGUUUCAGAUACUUUCGUGGAUUUAGUAAACUGGGCGGCAACGUGGAAUACUUCCAGCAUCAGAGCAAGGUUCAUAGUAACGCAGGCUCUCCUUCCGGAGGCAGAAAACAUCACGGAAUCCAGCAUUUUCAAGCGGAACGUGCCUUGAAGGUGCUGUGCUUACUUCUUGGCGUAAGAUCCCAUCAAGAAUGAAAUAAAAGGAUGUCCUUUGUUUUCAUACAACACA